rnacentral:rRNA from 1 species
GACGAACGCUGGCGGCGUGCCUAAUACAUGCAAGUCGAGCGAAUCAUUAGGAACUUGCUCCUGAUGGUUAGCGGCGGACGGGUGAGUAACACGUGGGCAACCUGCCUAUAAGACUGGGAUAACUUCGGGAAACCGGAGCUAAUACCGGAUAAUCCUUUUCCACACAUGUGGGAAAGCUGAAAGACGGUUUCGGCUGUCACUUAUAGAUGGGCCCGCGGCGCAUUAGCUAGUUGGUGAGGUAAUGGCUCACCAAGCCGCCGAUGCGUAGCCGACCUGGGAGGGUGAUCGGACACACUGGGACUGAGACACGGCCCAGACUCCUACGGGAGGCAGCAGUAGGGAAUCUUCCGCAAUGGACGAAAGUCUGACGGAGCAACGCCGCGUGAACGAUGAAGGCCUUCGGGUCGUAAAGUUCUGUUGUUAGGGAAGAACAAGUAUCGGAGUAACUGCCGGUACCUUGACGGUACCUAACCAGAAAGCCACGGCUAACUACGUGCCAGCCGCCGCCGUAA